rnacentral:rRNA from 1 species
UGGGGAAUUGUUCGCAAUGGGCGCAAGCCUGACGACGCAACGCCGCGUGGAGGAUGAAGGUCUUCGGAUUGUAAACUCCUGUCGAACGGGACGAACACCUUUCCAACGAAUACUUGGAGAGGCUGACGGUACCGUGAGAGGAAGCCCCGGCUAACUCUGUGCCAGCAGCCGCGGUAAUACAGAGGGGGCAAGCGUUGUUCGGAAUUACUGGGCGUAAAGGGCGCGUAGGCGGCCGCCUAAGUCAGACGUGAAAUCCCUCGGCUCAACCGGGGAACUGCGUCUGAUACUGGGUGGCUUGAAUCCGGGAGAGGGAUGUGGAAUUCCAGGUGUAGCGGUGAAAUGCGUAGAUAUCUGGAGGAACACCGGUGGCGAAGGCGGCAUCCUGGACCGGUAUUGACGCUGAUGCGCGAAAGCCAGGGGAGCAAACGGG